UUCUAGAGUUAUCUACUGGAUCUCUACCUUGUACAAAACCAAUUUGAUCAUUUUUAAUUAUAUUAUCCAUUAAACCUCUUAAUCUAUGAGCCAAAACUGAAGAAAAAAUCUUAACAUCUGUAUUGAUUAAGGAGAUAGGUCUAUAAUUUUCUACCUUUAGAGGAUCUUUGUUAUCUUUAAGAAUUGGAAGAAUAUUUGCACUCAACAUUUCUGUAGGAAAUUUACCAAC